rnacentral:rRNA from 1 species
UACGAAGGUGGCAAGCGUUGUUCGGAAUCACUGGGCUUAAAGAGCACGUAGGCGGCUUGUCAAGUGCCUUGUGAAAUCCCUCGGCUCAACCGAGGAAUUGCUGGGCAGACUGGCAGGCUUGAGGCAGGUAUGGGCGAGUGGAACUCUUGGUGGAGCGGUGAAAUGCGUAGAUAUCAAGAGGAACGCCGGUGGUGAAGACGACUCGCUGGGCCUGUCCUGACGCUGAGGUGCGAAAGCCAGGGGAG